rnacentral:rRNA from 1 species
UACGUAGGGUGCGAGCGUUAUCCGGAAUCACUGGGCGUAAAGCGUCUGCAGGUGGUUUCCUAAGUCCACUGUUAAACCUUGAGGCUCAACCUCAAAUCUGCAUUGGAAACUAGGAGACUUGAGUAUAGUAGGGGUAGAGGGAAUUUCCAGUGGAGCGGUGAAAUGCGUAGAUAUUGGAAAGAACACCGAUGGCGAAGGCACUCUACUGGGCUAUUACUGACACUCAGAGACGAAAGCUAGGGGAGCAAAUGGG